GAUGAACGCUGGCGGCGUGCCUAAUACAUGCAGGUCGAGCGAACGGACGAGAAGCUUGCUUUUCUGAUGUUAGCGGCGGACGGGUGAGUAACACGUGGAUAACCUACCUAUAAGACUGGGAUAACUUCGGGAUACCGGAGCUAAUACCGGAUAAUAUUUUGAACCGCAUGGUUCAAAAGUGAAAGACGGUCUUGCUGUCACUUAUAGAUGGAUCCGCGCUGCAUUAGCUAGUUGGUAAGGUAACGGCUUACCAAGGCAACGAUGCAUAGCCGACCUGAGAGGGUGAUCGGCCACACUGGAACUGAGACACGGUCCAGACUCCUACGGGAGGCAGCAGUAGGGAAUCUUCCGCAAAGGGCGAAAGCCUGACGGAGCAACGCCGCGUGAGUGAUGAAGGUCUUCGGAUCGUAAAACUCUGUUAUUAGGGAAGAACAUAUGUGUAAGUAACUGUGCACAUCUUGACGGUACCUAAUCAGAAAGCCACGGCUAACUACGUG
rnacentral:rRNA from 1 species